CCUGGGAUCUUAUUUCUCUUCCCCAGACCUUCAUAUAUAAAUGAAAUAUAGUUAUCACAAGAUUAAAAGUGGAGAUAUUUGAACUUUCAAUGAAGCUGUUUGAUAAAGAAGAGAACAAUGAUUUUACAUUCAGAAUUCUGAUGAAGUAUGUUUUGUUAAAUCUGCCUUUAUGAAGAAUUGAUGUGAUAUGUUCUUUGGAACAUCUCGUAGAAGAACUAUGUGAAUAUUCUAAUGGAAGUAAAUAAAAUAUUGAGAAAACA